rnacentral:rRNA from 1 species
CAAUAGCGUAUAUUAAAGUUGUUGCGGUAAAAAAGCUCGUAGUUGGAUUUCUGUUGAGAGCGACCGGUCCAUACCAUGUAUGCGUAUCUGGCUUGCUCUCGGCAUCCUCUCGAUAGACGUUGCUGCGCUUGAUUGCGUGGCGCGGAUCUCGGGACUUUUACUUUGAGGAAAUUAGAGUGUUCACGGCAGGCUUUCGCCAGAAUACAUUAGCAUGGAAUAAUACUAUAGGAUCUUGGUUCUAUUUUGUUGGUUUCUAGAAUUGAGAUAAUGAUUAAUAGGGACAAUUGGGGGCAUUAGUAUUCAGACGACAGAGGUGGAAUUCUUGGACCGUCUGAAGACUAACUACUGCGAAAGCAUUUGCCAAGAGUGUUUUCAUUAG